UUUUUUUUUUUUUUUUUUUUUGCAAAGUAUGACAUAAGAUCUUCUGAGAGGGACCUGGGGAGGUGCUGGAGGAAACAGGCCUGAGAAGAAUUCAGAAGAGUUGAAGAUCUUUUAUGGAGAAUGGGAGAGAUUCCAGGAAAUUCUAGAAGAGUGCUAUAGCUAAGAGAGCAAGAGCUAAAUGUGAAGCCCAUUAAUGUCUCCUACCUACCUUACUGUGUGAUCUCCAGGAAUUCUCACUGCCUGGAGAGGAGGAGAAAAUGCAAAAUGGUUCCUCUGGUUCCUCAGUGGCCACCACUGCCCCUUGGCAUAACUAAUGUUAGGCCUUUCAUAGCAAGGCCCUAUUUACCUUUCCUACUCACUCCUCAGCUCUACCAAGUUUCUUUUUCUCCCUUAAACAUCUUUAUACUUUUGUCUUUGUGAGUAUAGUUUCCUUCGAAUUCCCAAGUUUCCCCUGGGUAAUUUUUGUUUGUCCUUUAAAGAUUCCACUCAAACACUUUGUUUUGAAAAUGUGCCCCCAUUUCCUCAAAUAUUAGCUGUUGUGCUAAUCAUCAUGGUACCUUUUCUUAAAAGGCUACAAUCUUUGGAAUAAGACCGGGGUUCAAGAUGCAGCUGUCAUUUACUGUGUGAUCUUGAGCAAGAUAUUAGAACAUUCUUGUCCUUCAGCCUUCUCAUCUGUAAAAUGGGUACAAUGAUAAGACCUAUUUCAGAGAACUGUUUGAAAAGAUGAAGUGAAAUAAUGUACCCAAAGUACCGGGCAGUGGGAUUGGACAGCAAAGGAUGUUAUUAUUACACGACCUUGUACAUCUCCCAGUCUUGACAGAAAGUUCCUUAAAAAGCAGGUCUCGCAUCAUGCUCAUGUUUUCAUUCCCAAUAUUUGACACAGGAGCUGGGACGUGUAGAUUCUCCAGAACUGUGUAAUAAACUAAUGAUUAAUGGAAAGAAGUAAGUAGUUGAAGAUGCUACGAAGGUUAUGAGCUUCUUCCUGAGUUAGAAUUACAGCAAAGAAAGACCAAGGCUUGGGGAUGCACCCGUAUUAGCUUCAGGAAUCCAAACAGGAGAAAUUUUCUCCAAGAAAAUAAGAGUGCACACAGAGCAGAAGCUGAAAAGUCGUUAUGCUCGAGGGCAAAACCGACGUGGACCUUGUCCUCGCGGAGCUUACAGUCGGCUACGCUGUCCUAGCACAAUACCCAAGACAGGCUUACAACCAAGACCUCUCUCCUGGGGAGGGAAGGAGGGAGGAAGGGAGGGAGGAGGCAAGGUCCCCCUUUGGCUUAUCACUCAGAGCUGCCCAGCUUGGCCACCUGAUGGAGAGAGUAAAACCAGGUGCCAAGGCAGGAUGGAGGAGAGGAUGGGGGGCAGCAUCCACUGUUACUUGGGGGCACUGGAAGAUGUUGACCCCUGGCAAAGCACAAGGCCAGGCCCUGGGAAGGGCAAGGCUGGCCUCAUGGCUGUCGACCGGCAGGGCAUUGGGCCUGUGGAGAACACCUACCCCAAUCCUUUUGCUGACCCAGACCUCUCC
rnacentral:lncRNA from 1 species